CCUACGGGAGGCAGCAGUGGGGAAUUUUGGACAAUGGGCGCAAGCCUGAUCCAGCAAUGCCGCGUGAGUGAAGAAGGCCUUCGGGUUGUAAAGCUCUUUUGUCAGGGAAGAAACGGCUGAGGCUAAUAUCCUCGGCUAAUGACGGUACCUGAAGAAUAAGCACCGGCUAACUACGUGCCAGCAGCCGCGGUAAUACGUAGGGUGCAAGCGUUAAUCGGAAUUACUGGGCGUAAAGCGUGCGCAGGCGGUUUUGUAAGUCUGUCGUGAAAGCCCCGGGCUUAACCUGGGAAUUGCGAUGGAGACUGCAGGGCUUGAAUCUGGCAGAGGGGGGUAGAAUUCCACGUGUAGCAGUGAAAUGCGUAGAGAUGUGGAGGAACACCGAUGGCGAAGGCAGCCCCCUGGGUCAAGAUUGACGCUCAUGCACGAAAGCGUGGGGAGCAAACAGGAUUAGAUACCCUGGUAGUCCACGCCCUAAACGAUGUCUACUAGUUGUCGGGUCUUAAUUGACUUGGUAACGCAGCUAACGCGUGAAGUAGACCGCCUGGGGAGUACGGUCGCAAGAUUAAAACUCAAAGUAGUAGUACGCGNGAGAGAGACGACGACGGACGACGACGGAGGAGGAG
rnacentral:rRNA from 1 species